rnacentral:rRNA from 1 species
UACGUAGGGGGCAAGCGUUGUCCGGAAUCAUUGGGCGUAAAGAGCGUGUAGGCGGCCCGAUAAGUCCGUCGUGAAAGUCCAGGGCUCAACCCUGGGAUGCCGGUGGAAACUGUCGGGCUAGAGUCCGGAAGAGGCGAGUGGAAUUCCUGGUGUAGCGGUGAAAUGCGCAGAUAUCAGGAAGAACACCCGUGGCGAAGGCGGCUCUCUGGGACGGUACUGACGCUGAGACGCGAAAGCGUGGGGAGCGAACAGG